AGAACACACAAGAAAAGGGGACGUGUGCACUGCAGUCCAGGUUCCAGACCCAGCAACCUUUGUCUGAAAGAGGGAUCUCUCACCCCACCCUCUUGUGUCCAUGGAUCCCUGUUCACCAUCCCAGGAGUGUCCUUCAGUGAACCCUCCUCUGUGAAGUGCCUGAUGCCAGUGGUGAUGAGGACAAUUCUUCUGCUAGACCACGCACCAUCAUGCUGAGCUGCCUCUCCACAGGCCCAAAGCAGCAAGGCCAACUAACCAUUGUGAGCUAAAACAAGCUUCUCUCUUCAUAAGCUAAUUAUCUCAGUGAUUCCAUCCCCUCCCGAGUCUGGAGCACUUCCUGUGGUGACUGAGGAGGACCUGCUACAACUGCGCUGGGGUUUGGGUCCUAGGAGCUUAAACUGGGGCAAUUGAUCUAGCCACAAGGGUUUUCUAAGGCGCACCAUGGAGACGUCUUGGGUCCAGCAGUCCUUGGCCACGGCCUCUCCAAGAAGGGCUGGAUCCCGGCCUGAAGGCUUUUCUCUGACUCUAUCUCAACCCCAAGACUUGUGGUUCUUCCUUAAAGCUGCUAUGCUCAUGUUGUUGAGAGUUCUCUCUACAUUUUUUUAAAGCCAGCU